ACUUUCUUGAUCACCAAUUUCUACUGGUUGCAUUCAAUUCGUAAUGUUCUUUGACUCUUAAUUGUUAUAGAAUAGAAGGAAUGAAUUCGUAAUGUUCGUUGAUUUUUAAUCGUAAAAAGGAGUUCUACUAAGAAAUUAACGCCGGUUCUGUAUCUGGAAGAUUGUGAAAAGCUAGAUGUCAGAGUACGACAACGUCGUGGGUGGGAAAUUGAAGCUGAAGGGAAAAGCGUUGGAUGUAAAAGCUUGUGGGAUUAAAAAGAAGAAGAAACGAGACAAGAGAUACCGUAAUUUCUCCCAAACUAGUUCUGGAUGGAGUGAUGCAGACUGCUAAAGAUCUCAAAGGGCAAAGAAACAUGGAAAUAUGGUCAAAAUUUUAAUCUGUCUUACACAUUUUCUUUAGAUAUCUUUGGUGGAAACAUGUCGAUGGAUCAUCAUGAAGACAGCAGAGAGAGUGUAUCUUUUGAUGAUCAUCUUACUCCAGCAGAAAGGCGAUUUCUGCAUCAGACACAGAAACUUGAGCUUCAAAGACUAGCAAAAAUGGCAAACAAGUCUCAUCGAGAUAGAAUUCAUGAGUUCAAUCAAUAUCUGGCCAACCUCACUGAGCAUUAUGAUAUUCCCAAAGUAGGACCUGGUUAAGGAAACUGUGUCUUCUUUUUAAUCUUCAUUCUACUAAAUGUUUUGCACGCUUAAAAUUGAUUAAUCUUUUCGAAUUUAUGAAAUUGAAAAUGACUGUGUACAUUAGAUGGAA